UAAGGAAUAUUGGUCAAUGGACGCAAGUCUGAACCAGCCAUGCCGCGUGAAGGAUUAAGGCCCUCUGGGUUGUAAACUUCUUUUAUAGGGGAAGAAGUGUGACGGUUCUCCGUCACUUGACGGUACCCUGGGAAUAAGCACCGGCUAACUCCGUGCCAGCAGCCGCGGUAAUACGGAGGGUGCAAGCGUUAUCCGGAUUCACUGGGUUUAAAGGGUGCGUAGGUGGGCAGAUAAGUCAGUGGUGAAAUCUUCCGGCUUAACCGGGAAACUGCCGUUGAUACUAUUUGUCUUGAAUUAUCUGGAGGUAAGCGGAAUAUGUCAUGUAGCGGUGAAAUGCUUAGAUAUGACAUAGAACACCAAUUGCGAAGGCAGCUUACUACAUAUAAAUUGACGCUGAGGCACGAAAGCGUGGGGAUCAAACA
rnacentral:rRNA from 1 species